ensembl:lncRNA
GGCAGCUUUGCCAAAGUCCCGGAGUUGGCGAGUUGGGCGCUAACUGGUGCGGGCGGAGCGGGGGUGCGCGUGGGCGCGCCGGGAGCGCCGGGACGCGCGGGGUCCCCCCACCCGCUCCCAGAGCCUGUCGGCGAGCUCUGCUCCGGGUCCCCCCGAGAGUUUGCGCGCGGCCCGCGGAGGGGGGAGGGCGGCUCGGGGGUGCGGCCGCCCACCCCCUCGGCUCCGCUCGGAGGACCAACUUUGCUCCGGGGACUCGGUCGUCCCAGGCGGGCAAUGGAGCCGCAGCCGCGCUCCCCGCGCACGGCUCUGCGGCGGGGCCCCAGCUGCCUUCCCCUCGGGUCCGGCCGCUGGCGGUGGCUGUGCACGCUCUCUCUCAACUGUCGCGUGCUGCGCGCUCCUGCCCCCCGUCCGCUGUCCGUGCCGGGCGGCCGGGGGGACCCGAGCCUCUCUGCAGGGGCCCUCCUCGCGCCAGCCCAGUCUCCGUGCAGUUGGAACGGCCUCCAGGCCGGGGCUGACCCUUGGUCUAGGAUUUGCCUGACCUGGAUCGAAAGGAUGAGCCGAGCUACUCAGAUCCUGUCUCAGAAAUUGGAGUCAAGUGCCACAGAGGGGAAAAGGCAGCUGCUGGUGCUCCCUCAAAGUGCAAAUUCAGUUGGCAUGGUACUCAGCAUGUAAUAACUGCUCAACCAGCACUUGUUGAAGAAUGGAUGGAUGCCCUAAAUUAGAAGACAGUGGAAGGAGGAAGACAGCUUCUUUGUGUGACACUCUUCACUCUUCAUAUCAAACAAGGGUUUGCUUGAUUCUUCUGUUUAUUUAUUUUAUGCCGUUUCUCUGUUCAUAGCCACCACUUAGUUAUCUCUUAUGUGCCAAGCCAUACAUUGAGUGACUGAUAUAUAUUAUCUUAUCAACACUCAUGAUGACACCUAGAAGUAGGCCAUUGUGACCAUGAUACAGAUGAGGAAACUGAGCCUCAAGAAUUUCAUUAAUUUGUCUAAAGUCAUUACACCUUGUAAUCACUUUCAUCUUAACAUUAAGUGAACUGCUCCUGCCUAUAGCAGAACACUUCACCAUGUCUAUGCAUUCUCCUAGGUUCUUUCUGUGUAUCACCCAUUUAUUCAUUUUAGUCAUUCAUCCUACAGAUAUUAAGAACCUACCACAUACCAGGCACUAUGGCAAGUGCUAGAGAUUCCAUGGUAGGCAAACAGAUCCACAGUCUCACAGCGUUCACGGUCUAAUGGCAGAACAGGCAUUAUAAGCAUGAACACACAAAUAACAAUUGUAUUAGUUGGGAGGAAGGAGAAAGGUCCUCAUGGCUGUCAGAUGCAGAUCUGGUAUUAGUACCUAAUGCUACUGAAAUCCAAGUCCAAGAAAUUCCAAGAUUCCUUCUGCCAAUUUACACCAGUGUGACUCCCUUAGGCUGAUCUAAUGGGACAUUGGGUUUGCCAAGGGCCCUCUGGGCAGUGCUUGUCCCUGUAGGAAGUCUGCCACUUACUGUGGGAGACCAGAAUGCACAACACAACAAAGGCUCAAACACACACACACACACACACACACACACACACACACACACUCAGCUGACCCAUACCUCCAGCUGCAGAGAGAGCUAAGAGAGGAAGCAAUGCAGUGCAUUUUGCAAAUGCCUUCUUUCAGCUGUGGGACUCAAGUUUGAAGAGCAUUUUUCUAUUCACUGUGUUGCACUUUGCUUUUAUCAUGUAAAUGAUCCUGGAGAUCACUCCAUUUAAAUACAUGGAGAUUGUCCCGUUCUGUUUUCCACUUGCAAAGUACUGCAUGGUGUGAAUAAACCAGGGUUCAAACUGUCUCCUAAUAGGUGG